rnacentral:rRNA from 1 species
GAUGAACGCUAGUUACAGGCUUAACACAUGCAAGUCGAGGGGCAGCAUUUUAGUUUGCUUGCAAACCAAAGCUGGCGACCGGCGCACGGGUGAGUAACACGUAUCCAACCUGCCUCAUACUCGGGGAUAGCCUUUCGAAAGAAAGAUUAAUAUCCGAUAGCAUAUAUUUCCCGCAUGGGUUUUAUAUUAAAGAAAUUCGGUAUGAGAUGGGGAUGCGUUCCAUUAGUUUGUUGGGGGGGUAACGGCCCACCAAGACAACGAUGGAUAGGGGUUCUGAGAGGAAGGUCCCCCACAUUGGAACUGAGACACGGUCCAAACUCCUACGGGAGGCAGCAGUGAGGAAUAUUGGUCAAUGGACGCGAGUCUGAACCAGCCAAGUAGCGUGAAGGAUGACUGCCCUAUGGGUUGUAAACUUCUUUUAUAUGGGAAUAAAGUGGUCCACGUGUGGACUUUUGUAUGUACCAUAUGAAUAAGGAUCGGCUAACUCCGUGCCAGCAGCCGCGGUAAUACGGAGGAUCCGAGCGUUAUCCGGAUUUAUUGGGUUUAAAGGGAGCGUAGGCGGAUUGUUAAGUCAGUUGUGAAAGUUUGCGGCUCAACCGUAAAAUUGCAGUUGAUACUGGCAGUCUUGAGUGCAGUAGAGGUGGGCGGAAUUCGUGGUGUAGCGGUGAAAUGCUUAGAUAUCACGAAGAACUCCGAUUGCGAAGGCAGCUCACUGGAGUGUAACUGA